CGCUAACUAACAGGGGAGAGGGGAGGAGAAGGGGGGGAGAAGCAGGAGGGAGUAGCGUUAGGUGUUUGGUUUGGUGGCUUCGCUCCUUCCUUGUUCGUUUCCUUGGGCAGCGUGUUAAUUGGCGUGCGUUGCCUUCUCCGCUCGCUCUCUGUUUCUCUCUCUUUCUUGGAUGGAUGGAUGGUCACGUGCGGCGCGACUGCUUGAUUGCUCCCCCUCCCCUCCCAGCACUAGUAGUACUAGUACCAGCACUGUAGAAGAAGAAGUAGUGGUGCUAUCUAUAUAUGCAAUGUCGGCGAGGAGGUGAAGCUGACAGUGAAACUGGUCCGUCAGAAAGAGAAAAGCAGAAAUUUCCACGAAUAUCACACUCACCGAUGUGGAUUCUUCUUCCCAUCCUUCCUUGUAGCAGCAGGUCAUGGUCGAGGGAGGGCCGUGUGAUCAUGAUUGGACACCGAUCCCUA
rnacentral:lncRNA from 1 species